rnacentral:miRNA from 1 species
CAGUCUUACUAUGUAGCCCUA